GGCGACGUAGCCAAGUGGUAAGGCAGUGGUCUGCAAAACCAUUAUUCACCGGUUCAAAUCCGGUCGUCGCCUCCA
rnacentral:tRNA from 4 species